rnacentral:rRNA from 1 species
AUUGAACGUUGGCGGCACGCCUAAUACAUGCAAGUCGAACGAGAAAGCACUUCGGUGUGAGUACAGUGGCGGACGGGUGAGUAACGCGUAGGAAUCUACCUAGUAGUGGGGGACAACUCGAGGAAACUCGAGCUAAUACCGCAUACGCUCUAUGGAGGAAAGUGGGGGAUCUUCGGACCUCACGCUAUUAGAGGAGCCUGCGUUAGAUUAGCUAGUUGGUGAGGUAAAGGCUCACCAAGGCUACGAUCUAUAGCUGGUCUGAGAGGACGAUCAGCCACACUGGAACUGAGACACGGUCCAGACUCCUACGGGAGGCAGCAGUAGGGAAUCUUGGGCAAUGGGCGAAAGCCUGACCCAGCGAUGCCGCGUGUGCGAAGAAGGCCUUAGGGUUGUAAAGCACUUUCAGUUGCGAAGAAAAGCUACGGUUUAAUAUGCCGUGGUCUUGACGUUAACAACAGAAGAAGUACCGGCUAACUCCGUGCCAGCAGCCGCGGUAAUACGGAGGGUACGAACGUUAAUCGGAAUUACUGGGCGUAAAGCGCGCGUAGGCGGUUUGAUAAGUGGGAUGUGAAAGCCCCGGGCUCAACCUGGGAACUGCAUUCCAAACUGUCAAACUAGAGUGUGGUAGAGGGAGGUAGAAUUUCCUGUGUAGCGGUGAAAUGCGUAGAUAUAGGAAGGAAUACCGAUGGCGAAGGCAGCCUCCUGGACCAACACUGACGCUGA